GUGCUCUCAGCAUGUUUAACAGAAAAAAAAAAGAGAUCAUUAGGCUGUGUAUGUAGACUGAUUUUGUAGAAACAAUUAUCUAACUGGUUAAAUAUGAUUUCGUAGCAAGUUGCAUCUAAUGUUGUUUUGCUUUCUCUUUUUCAGUUGGCAGGUAAUAAGUCCUGUAGAGGUCGUUGGAUAUGUCAUUGUUGUGGAUGAGUUGCUCACUGUACAGACUACAACCCACGACAGACCUACAAAUAUAGUUGCAAACAGAGUGAGAGGAGAGGAGGAAAUUCCUGACGGUUCUGUUGCAGUACUGACACCUGAUAUGCCAGAUGCACUGUCUAAUGUUUCUGCUCGAGCAAGAAAUGGAAAGGUCUGCUUUGGGACAUAUUUUGAUUCUGGUAUCUGUUGAAUGAUGCCUAUUUGUUCUCAAACCACAAAACAUAAACGUGUGAAAAGAAGAGCAACACGUCAAGCUGUUGUUUAGUUAUGUAAAAGUCAAAGAGUAUGGGCUCCACAUAUGGAGAGUACUCCUAAGUCUAAGUCAAUAGUAAGGAUAUAUGGAGAAAGAUCGAGAGUGUUCUGUUCUCUGUAUAAAUAUGUAACGGCCAGUGUUGUGUAAUAUAAGCAAGAAAAAUGUCAGUUCUCAACUUCAUCUUUCUCUAUCUACUACUACUGUCUCUCUCAUACGUUCUAAAGAAUCUAAACACAAAAUACUCCUCUAUUUACAAGUAGGUCUCGAUCGGUAACAACAUGAGCGCAUGUUAUGAUCGUGCCAACACUGUCAAUAAUGAAUCCUGAGCCAGACGAACCAGAAUUGAUGUGGACGACAGAAGGAGCGAUGAUAGAGGCAGCGGUUUUGAGAGAACUUCUCCCAAAGUAAUCAGGGUCGGUGUUUUUUUUUCCAGAGCAGAGCUUGAAAUGGUUCAUGAGAGCCAGAUAUUUCAAUUCCUUGAAACGAAGGAUCUACAAAGAAAACGAAAUCUAUUAGUAAGCAAAAGAGAACAAGAGAUGUGCUCAUUCAAGAAACAGAGAGACAAAAACAGACCUCAAGAGAUUUCUGAGUUUGCCCUUGUUUCUCAAACAGUUUAGCCCACCGGUUUAGAUCAGAUCUACUGAUUUGAAACCCUUCUUCUCUCUCUAUCUUGCUCAAGACGUUGGCACAUGACUCCGAAGUUGAUUUCAGAGUAGAAACGAUCAUCUUUUUCUGUGAAGCACUGGGAGUCGAAGUGUGAAUGGUGCUUAACAUUCUUUAUCAUGAGAAUAUGAGCAGAAACGACAUCGUGUGAGCAACGUUGAGCAGAAACGACAGCUUUGAAGAAACGACGGCGUUUGGGCGAAAACGACGGCGUCUGAGCAGAAAACGACAGCGUUUGAGCAGAAACGACGCCGUUUGAGUAAAGUAAACCAAUGUGUUUUUCGAGUCCUUCCUCUGUCUCACCCACUCUUCCUCUCGCCAUUUGUUUCAGAGAAAUUUAAAUACUACAGUGGCAAUCUCUCGAGGUUGUUGUUCCCCUGAAACAUAUCUCGUAAGAUUCAAAGAGAAUCUGAUUUGUAACAGAGGAACAAAACUACAGGGAAGAGACCAGAGUUAGAUCUUUCUCUAUCUUUAUUCUCAACUUCAUCUUUCUCUAUCUACUACUACUGUCUCUCUCAUACGUUCUAAAGAAUCUAAACACAAAAUACUCCUCUAUUUACAAGUAGGUCUCGAUCGGUAACAACAUGAGCGCAUGUUAUGAUCGUGCCAACACUGUCAAUAAUGAAUCCUGAGCCAGACGAACCAGAAUUGAUGUGGACGACAGAAGGAGCGAUGAUAGAGGCAGCGGUUUUGAGAGAACUUCUCCCAAAGUAAUCAGGGUCGGUGUUUUUUUUUCCAGAGCAGAGCUUGAAAUGGUUCAUGAGAGCCAGAUAUUUCAAUUCCUUGAAACGAAGGAUCUACAAAGAAAACGAAAUCUAUUAGUAAGCAAAAGAGAACAAGAGAUGUGCUCAUUCAAGAAACAGAGAGACAAAAACAGACCUCAAGAGAUUUCUGAGUUUGCCCUUGUUUCUCAAACAGUUUAGCCCACCGGUUUAGAUCAGAUCUACUGAUUUGAAACCCUUCUUCUCUCUCUAUCUUGCUCAAGACGUUGGCACAUGACUCCGAAGUUGAUUUCAGAGUAGAAACGAUCAUCUUUUUCUGUGAAGCACUGGGAGUCGAAGUGUGAAUGGUGCUGGCGAGGGAAGAGAUCUGAGAAAUCCUCCCCACAUUGUUGAAAGAGGAUGAAAAAAGUUUACGUAACAUCAGAACUCUAAUCUCUCUCUUUCUCUCUCCGACGACAAAUAGUUUCUUUUACUCCAGAUAAUUUGUAGGGUUUCUCUUCAUAGUUUUAGGCCAAUUUCCUAUUGGGCCUUUGUAUUUUACAAGACCAUCUGUAAAAGGCAUUUCUGUUUAGGCCAUCAUUUAGCAUAGCCAUCGGUUUCUUUCGGUUCUUCAGAGGAUUAAGAUUUGUUCGGUAUUCAGAAAAUUUGGUUUGGUUAUUUCGGUUUUCACACAUUCAAAUUUACUAAUUUACUGAACAUUGUUAUUAAUGGUUCACACAUUCAAAUUUCAGAAUGUGUGGAAACUUUCAACUAGAUAUAUACAUUUCUCAUGCCGUAAUUCAGCUAACCACGUGAAUAUACAAAUCUUCCAAUAUAAUUUUGAAGGAUUUGAUAAACCAGUUUGUUUUGCCAUACGCAUCUCAAUUUAUAAUGUGAUUAAUAGUGUUUGUUUUGUUAUGUAUGUUGAUUAUUACAGCAAUGAAACCGUUGUGCUUAUGUAUAAAUCAUCGAAUUUUGUUAA